rnacentral:rRNA from 1 species
CUAACAAGGGAUUCCCUUAGUAACGGCGAGUGAACAGGGAUUAGCCCAGCACCGAAGCCUGUGGCCAUUUGGUUACUAGGCAAUGUGGUGUUCAGGUCGUUCCGCAGAGGCACUGCUCCACUCCAAGUCCAGCAAUGAGUACGGUAGUACAGACUUGGCCCAUAGAGGGUGAAAGGCCCGUGGGGGUGGAGAUUCAGGCAGGCCAGUGUCUCUCUGGGUAGACCUUGGAGUCGGGUUGUUUGUGAAUGCAGCCCAAAGCGGGUGGUAAACUCCAUCCAAGGCUAAAUACUAGCACGAGUCCGAUAGCGAACAAGUACCGUGAGGGAAAGUUGAAAAGUACUUUGAAGAGAGAGUAAACAGUGCGUGAAACCGCUCAGAGGUAAACGGGUGGAGUUGAACUGCAAGCCUUGAGAAUUCAGCUGGUGAGUGUGGUUUGAGCUGGGUCAAAUUGGUUGUACUCUGGAGUCUGCGUAGUAGCAGGUCUCUGCCCUCGGGUGGGGAUGCGCGAAUCGCUUAUCAAGCGUUGUCCGCUCCAGUUGUAUUCGGGCCUGCUUGCCAGUGCACUUUCUCAGGGUGUUCACCACGACCGGCACUGCUGUCUGGCUGUUGUGGUUAAACCGGUCUUGCAUUGUCCUUGUGGCUUUGUUUGGUCGGGACGGCAGGUAGCUCGUUGGCUAUUCCAGGGCAACCUGGUCAAUUGGUCAUCGAGUGUAAUCAGCUGACCAUAAUAGUUCUGUGCGGUGUGUCGGAGACGGCGGCUUGUGGUGUGAGCGCGCGUGCAUUGUCUGCUGACUUGUUUGGGUUUGGUUGCUUUGUUGCUUGUUCUGCAAGCCUGGCGAUGGCCUGAGCAUGUUUGGCUUGCGGUUGCGUGUGUGACACUUAUCCAGGGCCAAUAGUCUGUGGUGUAGUGGUAGAC